GUUACUUGUGCUUAUGUAAGGCCUGGUGGAAUACACAAAGUAGAAACCUAAGUACAGGGAUGCCUCCACAGACUUGAUGUCCUGUGAAAUCGGCUGCAGCUACACCAUCCUUUUGCAGUGCAGACAUCAAAAGGAUUGCAAUAUGCUGGAGACCUGCUAGGAAGAAACACUGCUUGCGUGUAAGCAAAGCCGGGACAACAGAGGACAGAACAGCUCUGGCUAAAGCAGGUGGCAGAGAAAGCAGGAGUCAUGCUGGAGCAGGACAUUCAUGGCCGUCCUCAUGGAUCCAGAUACUCAGCAUCUCUUGGGAUCAGGGCAUGGGCUCCUGUUUUCUUGCCAUGAAUUGAUCACACAUCCACAUCAGACAUCAAAAAUCAGUAAAUCUAAUACUGGAGAACAGAGUGGCUCAAGAAUGGAUCCUGGAUUUUCAAAAGAUGCUUCAUGUCCUGACACCUGACUUGAGACCCAUCACAAAGCCUCCUCAGCACUUCAGAAAAUGUACUACCUGAUAUAAAAUGUGCAACAGCCAAACAUCUUUAUUGCUAUAUGUUGGUUACAAUUAGAAAAUCUUUGGCAGUUGCUAUCACUUUAAUAUCUGUGUAGCUACAAAAUCUAAUCUUUUGGCAAGAAACUAAUAUGACUAAUUACAUUUUGUGAUCUGCAUUUCCCCCGA